UCCCCUAUGUGAAGACAUGGAGAAAAGCAAACCAGGAAGCAAGAAGCAAGUCUUCAGCAGCAGCUGGCCAUGCUGGCACCCUGAUCUUGCACUUCCAGCCUCCAGAACUGUGAGAAACUCAAUUUCUGUUGUGCAAGCCUCCCAGUCUAUGCAUUCUUUUAUGGUGGCCCCAGCAGACUAAGAUGGUGGCUGAGUCAGCCUCCUUCCAUUAUUCUUCCCAGAAGUUCCAGAGGUACUUCUAUUUAUACAUUACUAGCCAGACAUCAUUACCUGGCCACCUUAACUGAAAAAAAGGUGGGUGAGUGUUGUCUCUUUGCUGGGUUCAUCACCCUCUUAAACAAAAUCAGGCUUCUAUGACCAAGGAAGAGGGACAAAAAGCAUUUAGGUAGCAACCAGCAGUCUCUGGUCUCAAUGCCCUGAUGAAAAGGGGAGAUGGGAUGGAGGGGUUGGGGCAAUGAGGGAGAGCAAAUGAGAGCUAUGACAGCGCCUAGGAGAGGGCACUUUAGAAGCUAGGAAAUUAAGCUUGGUAAGCUUUACCACAUGUCAGGGAGUACCGGGAACAGACGGCAGGAUUCCUGCAUGGGAGCUUCCACAGGACCCGGCCUCCCCACUGCCUCUCCACCACAUCACAGCUGUUGUUUAAAGAGGCCCCGGUGUAGAGUCCAGCUGUUGGAAGAGCAGCCCUUCUAUCGGCUUGGGCUGGCGAUGACAAAUCAGUUUGCACAGAGGUCCCUGGACAAGCGCAAUGACUCAGACAAGCAGCGUGUUUUUUCAGACUUUGUCACAUGCAGGGAAUGAGCUCUUUGGCAGGCCUUUUCUGAGCCAGCAUAGGAAGGGCUUGGGAGAGCUGGAGAAAUCUGAAGUGCACAGACAUCUGGCAUUGCCUGGAAAUGCAGACCAGGAGGCUGUCUUUGUUCAGUGAGCAACUAUUUGAGGAUUUACGGCAUGCUGAUAUGUGUGCUGAGAGGACAGAUGAGGUCCCUGCUCUCACAGAGUUUAUGUUCCAGAAGGAUGAACAACAAACAGUUGAACAAAUAAGAUAAUUUCAGAUGGGGCAAUGGAGAAAAGACAGGGCUACAUUAGAUAAGACUCAGAGAGUUCUCUUCAGGGAAGCAAGAAGUUUUUGUUGUUGUUUUCGGUUUGUUUUUGAGACAGUCUUCUCUGUUGCCCAGGCUGGAGUACAGUGGCAUGGUCUUGGCUCACUGCAACCUCAGCCUUCCGGGUUCAAGUGAUUCCCCUGCCACAGCCUCUUGAGUAGUGAGAUUACAGGUGCCUGCCACCAUGCUCGGCUAAUAUUUGUAUUUUUAGUAGAGAUGGAGUUUCGUCAUCUCUAUUUGGCCAGGCUGGUCUUGAACUCCUGGCCUCAAAUGAUCCGUCUGCCUCAGCCUCCAAAAGCGCUGAGAUCGCAGGCAUGAGCCACUGUGCCCGGUCGGCAAGAGUUGAUGGAUGAAGGAACCCAGAUGUGGGGAGAGCUUGUUGGGGGAAGAAUGUUCCCAGGGAAGAGUGAAGGGAAAGAGGCUGGAGUUUCUGGUCAGCCUGACCCAAGGUUGUCACCCCAGAGGACUGUGAAAUAGCAUGUGCAGUUAACUGGCCACUGCUGACCUUCGCCUGGAAGACAAUGUCUCCGUUGUUCGGGCUUUUGUUGGUCUGCUCUGGAACCAAUUCUUUUCUCCUGCAAAUUAUUGUAGGUUCCCCAGGGAACCAUGUGGUCCUUGCCCUUUAGCUGCUCUGCUCUGUGCUGGGGGUGGAGGGUGAGAGAAGAGACAGAACAGGGAGAAGGAGGAGAGGGGAGGCGGUCCCCUGUAGGUGGAUAUUUUAAGGCUCUUAAUGUCAGCUGUGGUUGGAACUGGCCAAGGGAGGCACUAACAAGAAGUUGGAGGGCUAGAAGAAAGAAACCAGUUUCUCUCCAAUUCUCUCUCUCUGUCUCAGGUGGUCAAAAUUUUAAGGAGACAGGAUCCAGCGGGGCUGGGAUUAGGAUGAAGUAAAUGAGGCUGAGUUGUGCAAAUACAAGGUCAGAUCCUGACCUUGUUCAUCGUGGAAUUUUUACGUUAAUGUUGAUGAUUUUUAAAUGUUGUAUCGAAAUAUUUAUCUUGAUGACUGACUUUCUGACAUUUCCUUAGGCUUCACCCCAAAGCAAGAGCCUUGCUUCUUCACCCUGGUCCCAGCCUUGCCUUCAAGUGUGUGGGACACAUUCACACACACAGAAAAAUAAGCCAUUUAAAUGGUCUAACUCUACUGGAUAUUCUCUAUGCUGCUUUCAUUCACUCAAUAAUGUGUAGUUGAGCACUUCUAUGCCAAUGAAUAUAGAUCCACAUCAUCCUGGGCUUGAAGAAUGUGUUAUCAGAUAUUUUACUAACCCCCCUGCCAUGGAUGCAUCUAGCAGGAUCUGUUCACACCCUACCCAUGUCUCUAAUAUUUCUGUGUACUCCAGCCAAAUUCCACUGCCCACUCUGCAUUUCUGAGUGGAAAGUCUUGUCUCAGAUCUGUGGAAUGUGAGGCUGUCUAUCACUUCAGCAGGGGAAACUGCCAUAGAAUUAACACCUGCCAGGAACAGCUCUUGACCAAUGACCAAGGGGAAAUUGGCGUAUAAAUUCUUCAGCUCCCUUAGCCAUUGGGUGGGACAACUCAGGUGUGUGCUGUACACUGCAUCCCAGAGCUUUCUCCAUGGGAACAAGCUCCAUGCCCACAGCAGUACUUGGCUUAAUAACCUGCCUUGAGUGGUUGCCUGCUCUUCUCCAUAUCACUUUUUCUUUCCCUCCUGGGGCUGUCUACACACCCACCCCACCCCACCCCACCCCAAUAACAACUGCUCUUGAAUCUUUGUCUCAGGAGCUGCUUAUGUGAAGAUGGACAUUCUGAUUAUUUUGAAUUUUUCAAUAUUAACAUUCACCACCUGUAUAGAUUUUGGCAUAUUAACAGCCCCCACCUCCUCCUUUGGGGAUAUGGUCCUCACAAACCAAGGGUAACAGAAGAAGGUAGAGAAAAGAGAAACUCUGCAAAGCUACCAUGCAGCUUAGAGUUACGUCCUAUAAAAUGAUCCUUUUCAGUAUGUGCUAUGGCAUCGAAAGUGUUCGGAGCAUUGUUCUCACCAGUCAGACUGUGCCUUCACUUCUGUAGCUCCAGUGAGUGACACAUAGUAGAUAAUGGAUAAAUACGUGUUGCGUGAAUGAAGGGAGAAGUAAUUGGCUAAUGCUCUGAGCCUCUGCCAAGCUGAGUAUAUGAGACCAUUUCAUUUACCUGUGCCAUUGAGCAUCUGUGCAAGGGCUCCCUAGUUCUACCAUCAAGACAGCGAAUGGUGUUAUACUCAGGUUAAGAAGGUGAGUCCAAGAGGGUUGUGCUGGAGGCAGAAAACAGGGGCCCAGUCUUUGGAGAUAAAACAUGCUCUGGUCCUAAAUGGCAGCAGGAGAAGAAUCUUCGCAAAGUGAGAGUCAGGCCACAAUACCUCCCCUGGGAGGACUUCUGUGCCUGUGUAUGUUGGAGAGAGAAGGAGCUUUUUCAUCCCAAGUAGAGAGGUUACAUCCCCUGUCUGCUUCCCCCUCUCUCUUUCCCUCUCUCCUGCUGUGAAGGCCAAGUAUGACUUCACAGAAUCCCCAAGCUCCAUAAAUCAGUUCUAGAUCCAUCCCACGUGGCUGUAAUGAAAGCAGGAUUUUAACAAAAACUGGAUGCUUCUACUGUUUCAAUUGCUAUCAGUUGAUUCUAGAAGCAUUUUUAUAAGAUGAGGAAGGAAAUCUAGUUAUUCCAAGAACUGACGACGGAAGGCUGUGACUUCUCCUGAAAUGUCCUCAUAGGAGCCCUGGCUUUUGAGUCCAUAGCACUCUCUCCCCCACCACCACCCAGCUGCCAACCCAGAUCAAGGCUGGCUUUGCUCAUGCAGUCUUCUUCAAUGGCUUACCCCAGACAGUGACCCAUCUGAUCAUGUCUGUACUCCUCCCCACACUGAAGAUUCCUGCUCUGCCCUGUAAUUCCCUUGGAGAACAGAUGCUCCCAUUCCAGAACCACCAAUACUGCUGGGAGUUUGCAUUUCAAGAGACAGCAGCCCUUUGGGAGGAGAGGAAAUAGUGGUCAGCCAUCCACUGUCACUCUGAAAGUUAAAUCUUUACCCACAAGGAGUUCACCUUGGAAACAACAGCCUGACCCAACUUCACACUAAACAUCCUAUGCCCUGCACACAGAUGGUCCUUUUACCUGGGCCUGAUGAGGAAGGCCAAGCUUAGGAUUUGUGUCAUAUGAAGGCUUAUUCUCAGCAGCCUGGAUCCUUGGUAUCGUCCAAAAGGUAACUUUUCAGCUUCCCAUAAAUCAUUCAUUGAUCUGCACUACAUCAUCUUUGCAGGACAACUGCAUAGAAGUAACGUCCCAACCCAGCUGACCAACCUGAGUUGGAAGCAAGAGCUUCCUGCAUAACUUUUUAGUGGCCUCCCUGCAGGAUCGGUU